GCCGAAGUGGCGGAAUCGGCAGACGCGCCGGUCUCAAAAACCGGUUCCCGCAAGGGAGUGUGGGUUCGACUCCCACCUUCGGCA
rnacentral:tRNA from 1 species